rnacentral:rRNA from 1 species
AUUGAACGCUGGCGUCAGGCCUAACACAUGCAAGUCGAGCGAGCGGCGGACGGGUGAGUAAUGUCUGGGAAACUGCCUGAUGGAGGGGGAUAACUACUGGAAACGGUAGCUAAUACAGCAUAACAUCAGAUGUGCCCAGAUGGGAUUGGCUAGUAGGUGGGGUAACGGCUCACCUAGGCGACGAACCCUAGCUGGUCUGAGAGGUUGACCAGCCACACUGGAACGGGGACAUGGUCCAGACUCCAACGGGAGGCAGAAGUGGGGAAUAUUGAACAAUGGGCGCAAGCCUGAUGCAGCCAAGCCGCGUGUGUGAAGAAGGACUUCGGGUGGUAAAGCACUAUAGGCGGGGAAGCGUUGCCCGCAGAAGAAGGACCGGCUAACUCCGUGCCAGCAGCCGCGGUAAUUC